rnacentral:tRNA from 1 species
UCCGAGGUAGCUCAGCGGUAGAGCAGUGGACUGUUAAUCCAUUGGUCGUGGGUUCGAAUCCCACCCUCGGAGCCA